rnacentral:rRNA from 1 species
GAUGAACGCUAGCGGCAGGCCUAAUACAUGCAAGUCGAGGGGUAACAUGACGCUUCGGUGUUGAUGACGACCGGCGGACGGGUGCGUAACGCGUAUGCAAUCUACCCACAGCAGAGGGAUAGCCCGUGGAAACAUGGAUUAAUACCUCAUAAUACAGGGGGCCCACCUGGGCAUAUUGUUAAAGCUUUCGGGCGGCUGUGGAUGGGCAUGCGUCCCAUUAGCUAGUUGGUACGGUAACGGCGUACCAAGGCGAUGAUGGGUAGGGGUUCUGAGAGGAUGAUCCCCCACACUGGUACUGAGAUACGGACCAGACUCCUACGGGAGGCAGCAGUAGGGAAUAUUGGUCAAUGGACGGAAGUCUGAACCAGCCAUGCCGCGUGCAGGAAGACGGCCUUCUGGGUUGUAAACUGCUUUUAUCAGGGAAGAAUAAGCUUCUUGCGAGAGGUGAUGCCGGUACCUGAGGAAUAAGCACCGGCUAACUCCGUGCCAGCAGCCGCGGUAAUACGGAGGGUGCGAGCGUUGUCCGGAUUUAUUGGGUUUAAAGGGUGCGUAGGCGGCCUUCUAAGUCAGUGGUGAAAGGUAUCAGCUUAACUGAUGACGUGCCAUUGAAACUGGGAGGCUGAG